rnacentral:rRNA from 1 species
AUUGAACGCUGGCGGCGGGCCUAACACAUGCAAGUCGGGCGCGCGGCGGACGGGUGAGUAAUGUAUGGGGAUCUCCCUGCUGGCGGGGGAUAACUACUGGAAACGGUAGCUAAUACCGCAUACCAUCAGAUGAACCCUUAUGGGAUUAGCUAGUAGGUAAGGUAACGGCUUACCUAUGCGACGAACCCUAGCUGGUCUGAGAGGAUGAUCAGCCACAGUGGGACUGAGACACGGCCCAGACUCCUACGGGUGGCAGCAGUGGGGAAUAUUGCACAAUGGGCGCAAGCCUGAAGCAGCCAGGCCGCGUGUAGGAAGAAGGCCUUCGGGUUGUAAAGUACUUUCAGUCGGGAGGCGUUACCGACAGAAGAAGCACCGGCUAACUCCGUGCCAGCAGCCGCGGUAAUUC